GGUUCUAUGUUGUAAUGGUUAGCCCUCUGGACUCUGAAUCCAGCGAUCCGAGUUCAAAUCUCGGUAGGACCU
rnacentral:tRNA from 1 species